GUGUGCGUCCGGGGGCAUCCAGUUAAUUCUGGGGUUUCGGGUCAAGACUGGCCCCCGGACUCUGC
rfam:Sphingomonas sp. MM-1, complete genome.